CCUACGGGAGGCAGCAGUGAGGAAUAUUGGUCAAUGGACGAGAGUCUGAACCAGCCAAGUAGCGUGAAGGAUGACUGCCCUAUGGGUUGUAAACUUCUUUUAUAUGGGAAUAAAAUGUUCCACGUGUGGGAUUUUGUAUGUACCAUAUGAAUAAGGAUCGGCUAACUCCGUGCCAGCAGCCGCGGUAAUACGGAGGAUACGAGCGUUAUCCGGAUUGAUUGGGUUUAAAGGGAGCGUAGGUGGAUUGUUAAGUCAGUUGUGAAAGUUUGCGGCUCAACCGUAAAAUUGCAGUUGAAACUGGAAGUCUUGAGUACAGUAGAGGUGGGCAGAAUUCGUGGUGUAGCGGUGAAAUGCUUAGAUAUCAUGAAGAACUCCGAUCGCGAAGGCGAGUGUCCGGGGUGCAACUGACGCUGAGGCUCGAAAGUGCGGGUAUCAAACAGGAUUAGAUACCCUAGUAGUC
rnacentral:rRNA from 1 species